UAGGGAAUCUUCGGCAAUGGACGAAAGUCUGACCGAGCAACGCCGCGUGAGUGAAGAAGGUUUUCGGAUCGUAAAACUCUGUUGUUAGAGAAGAACAAGGACGUUAGUAACUGAACGUCCCCUGACGGUAUCUAACCAGAAAGCCACGGCUAACUACGUGCCAGCAGCCGCGGUAAUACGUAGGUGGCAAGCGUUGUCCGGAUUUAUUGGGCGUAAAGCGAGCGCAGGCGGUUUCUUAAGUCUGAUGUGAAAGCCCCCGGCUCAACCGGGGAGGGUCAUUUGAAACUGGGGGACUUGAGUGCAGGAGAGGGGAGGGGAAUUCCAUGUGUAGCGGUGAAAUGCGUAGAUAUAUGGAGGAACACCAGUGGCGAAGGCGGCUCUCUUGUCUGGAACUGACGCUGAGGCUCGAAAGCGUGGGGAGCAAACAGG
rnacentral:rRNA from 1 species